CUAGGCUGACGCUCACAUGACAUGUGUGUAGCGGGGUAGCUCUUGCAGCAAGAGUCGUCUGGGAGCAGGCACACGUGGGUACUCACCCCCAGUUAGGGAAACAGAAGGACUGCUGACUGGCGUUCCUGUGCCCCCGAAGGUGGCUGACAGCUUUGGGUGGAAUGUCACAAAGCAGUCAGACUGGGGGUGAGUCAGAAAUCCUUGGGUCACUUGUGGUUUUCUUCAUGGUUUUGGUGUGACUAUUAACUUGUUUUUACUUCACAAGAAAAACAGGUGUUUGGGUGUCUGUUUGAAAUACUGCCAUCUUGCUCAUGUCCCAGUCCCACGGCUGCCCCAGGCUGACACAAAUAGGUGACUUGAGAACCAGGCACCACCAGCAAACCCUUUAGACAGACAGGGCGUCCCUGGGCACUGACGCUGCCUUAAACCCCAGAUCCUGUGAUGUUCGUGAAGGGGAAGGUGCGUUUGGAGUAACCAGUGGUGCUCACUUGUCGGAUCCCCACAGAUCCCUCUGGGAGUGCCCACUUUGGAAGCGUGCGCUCUGACCUUGGCCUUGAUUUUCUACCUGCCACCUGGAUGAGCUGACAGCUCUCACCUUGAGUUCUGUUGCUUUUUGGAUGGAAAUCAAGGUAGCACAUUUGUCCAAACGCUGCUCUGGGUUUUCUUUCUACCUGGCCAGACAUUGCGUCAUCUCCACAUCUGCUGAUGUCCAUUUUUAUGCGCUCUGCAUCGGGGGUACCAGGAGACUCCCCUACUUCCACCACCUUCCCUGUUCCCAGGCUGCAGUUGCCUUCAGCUUCCCUGGGACCCUCAAGCCUGAAAGAAUGGAUGUGAAGCUUUCCAGCUCAGAUCUUCAGAAAGGAGAACAGUUGGCUCCAAUCAAGCCUGUUCUGUUCACAGACUUGUGAAGGGGAAGGGGCACACCAGUUUGAACCCUCGAUUCUGGGACUGGAGGUGUCUGGGAUCUGCUACAAAAAGAUAAGGGGCCUUAAAAAAACCAACAAGAGUUAAAUGUGGCCCCGAGUGUCCCCCUUCUGCCCCAUCCUCUUGUCCCUGCCUUAUAGCUGAUCUGUGGCCCUUAGAUGUGAGAUUCUGCAAGACUGGGGUUUUCAUCUGCAGCUUGGAGCAGGGGUGGUUGGUCUGCCAAACCAUGACUGUCCAGCGUGUCCCUUUCCUGUACUCUGCCACCAAGCCAGGCCCCAGGCUGUGGGGACCACGAGCAAUCAUGGACAUUCCUGUCAAUGACAAAGAACUUCAAAAAUUUGCAGCUGGCAGGAAGAAUCAGGGCAGCCGUCCUUGAAUUUGCCUGAUGCUAGCAGCUGGAUGACUUCAUUCUUCACUAUUUGGGAGCUCCUGCAUUGCAAGCGGAUUCUUUACUGCUGAGCCACUGGGGAUGCUCAGGGAGAACUGCACCAGCCUCCAGAGGAUGUAGCUGUCGCUGGUAACACAUGAGAUGAAAAGUCCAAAUGGGAGCUGCUGUCAUAUUCCCCAGAGCCCAAAGGCAUUCCUAGAGAAAUGGGGGAAGAAGUGGUCCUCAGAAACUGCCAAUAUUUUAAAAAUCCUAUUCUUUUGGAUUUGUUUUUCCAUCUGGCACAACUCUAGGAACACAGGGACUCCAAUCUGCUUAUUUGGCACUUACCUGCCCAGCCUGACCUUCUCAUCUAAGACCAGACUUGAACACAAAGCCUGGAGGGUUGGUGCCCAGAAAUGGGGCAGAGGAGGGGAGCCUCCAGGGGAGCCCCGAGCCCCUUUCUCCUGUGUCUUACUGGCUUCCAAGAAAACCAAGGUGUGUCUGGUUGAGCUUGGCUGUGUGUUCUCCAUAAACCCUCCCCCUCCCGGGGCUGGGCAGCACAUUCCCUCUCCCCGCACCCCCUCUACCAUGUCCAGUGCCUCCAUCUUCCUCCCCAGUCAGUGUUCCACCAGGAUGAGUGCUCAUUUUGUGCAAGGCAGUGUGUGGCCAGGGGAGAGAUGAGCCAGGUCUGACCUGGCCUCAGAGAGAAAGGGGACCAGUGGGCCCUGC
ensembl:lncRNA